UUGCGCCCCUANCCCCCUAGGCCGAGGGCACGUCUGCCUGGGCGUCACGCAUCGCUGCCCCACCGCCUCCCCGCCCCCUCCGGAGGGAGCGAGGCCCGGCGGUGCGGGCGGACAUUGGCCUCCCGUGCGCACUCCGCUCGCGGCUGGCCCAAAUACGAGCCCUCGGCGGCCGUCGCGGCGAUCGGUGGGAAAGAAAAACCUCUCGAGCGCACGCCGCGAGCCCUCCCGAGCGGCCCAAGGACCCUCACGCUCCGCGACCCCAGGUCAGGCGGGACCACCCGCUGAGUUUAAGCAUAUCAAUAAGCGGAGGAAAAGAAACUUACCAGGAUUCCCCUAGUAAACGGCGAGUA
rnacentral:rRNA from 1 species